UAGGAACCAGCACCCAUUUGGGAUCCUGGAGCAUGCAAGGUGAGGAUUUAGCCCCUGGGCAAUUGUGCAGGACCCACAAAAUUCUAUGAUUGGUAAUAAAGAAUAUUGUUUAUUUUAGCUACAAAUAGUGUGCAGUACAGGUUUCAGGACGCUGGGUUUGUGUAACAGUUGUAGUGCAGUAAGUUGGCUGUGUUUACUAAUGGUGACAGCUGUGUGGGGAGGUUCACCUGCAUGACCCCCAGAGGUCCCUGUGCUGACGUCUUGGUAACCACCGAGUGAUAGUGUCAAGAGUGGUGUCCCAGGCAAAGCCGGAGCGAUUUGCUGCCUGGGAGGCCUCAGGCUUCUAUCACUUUUUCUGCCACCUUCUCAGCAAAGCAACCACAGACACUCUUCUUGUGUUCUUUCUGCUCCUCUGCCUUCCUGUAUCUGUAACUUGCUUCUCACAGAAGCAUUUAGGGGAGAAGAGAUUUGUUAGUUUCUCUCCUUUCGUAACGUCACUUUAUGCAAUUUUUAAAUGAUUGAAAGAAAACUUUUUUUUUUUAAUUAACUUGGGAGGGCACCAUGGGGGUACAUGUGUGUGUGUGAGUGUGCUUCCAUUUGCUGCUCCACUCUCCAGAUGCCCAGCAGCCUUUGGCAUGUUUUAAAGACAGCCAUGUGGACUGUUGCUGUAUAAUGUUUGGGAGAUGAAGUCUCAGCCAUGGAUAAUCAGACCUGGUUUGCUGUGUAGCCUGCAUCUGCUCUUUCAAAGAGUAACAGGCCCCAAUUCUUCACUUCCCACAGCAAAUCCUGCAGAACACCUGGGCUUCCUGGGAUGUUCUUGGACAGGAAGGUUGGGCAGCUCUGGAGCUUUCAGUUAGAACUUACCCCUUCUGCCCUGGGCCUAAUUAUAACAUCUCACAAGUGUACCUAGCAGUUCAUGCUUUUUGAAGUUAGGCCGAUAACAACAGCUCUGUAAGGUGAUUAGGUCAGGAAUUGCUUUCCUUUUUUUUUUUUUAAACAAUCAUUUGAGCCAUAGUGGUUAUAAAAUGUGUCCAAAUUUAUGUAUGCAAUAGUAGAGCCAGGUUUAGGUCUUCCUCUUGAGCACCCAUCUUGCCAUCAGAUUAGCAUUUUCCACCCUGGGUGCCCCUAAAUGUUGGUUUCACAGUGUAGUCCGGGAUGAGUGGGUGGAUUUGCAUAUAUGCACACUAUCCUGCCCCAGAGUAUGUGUUAAUGGGGGAUUUUGCCAUGGGGUUUUGUUUCUGCAGUAACAUGAAAUUAGUAUGGUGAAGACCCUAACACUGUACUUUUAGGAAUUCUGCCUAACUCUGAGAGACUGGAACAUCCCCAAUGUUUUUCUGCAGUGAAUUUUGUUUUGCUGUUGAAGGAAUCUCUACUUUGUAGAGCAGCUGCUGAGUUCUUUGCCAGGCUGUUGUGGGUUACUUGUCCUGAAAGUAUCUUUGGUGUUGCUAGGGGAGGCCCCCGUGGUUGUCGCGUGGAGUCCAGAGGCUGCCACUCUGUGAGCAGCAGUUGGUGAUACUUCAGGAGUGAAGACCAGCCUGGGGAAGGAAUGGGCCAGGAGACUGGCUAGAGGGAAUCCCUGUUGGUGUUACCCCAGCAGCGUUGGUAUUUCGUAUCAAGGUGAAUUGGAACCAGAAUGUUCUUGACCUGCAAGAUCAGCUGUGUUAGGGAAGGAUCCAGGUACUGCAGCCUGAGGAUGGAGUUGAGACAUUUGGAGCCAGCUCAGCACAGUGCUGCAUCUUUGCAUAGCAUUUGACGAAGCACAUUCCCUGAGUGAGGCCAUCUGCAUCAGCCCCCUCUGCUUUUUCAUUAAUAUUUAAUAUACAACCUGGCCCUGCAGUUGUUGCUCUUAUUAGCUUAACAACUGCUGGGGCAUGGGGGAUGGGUGGUGGUUAAGGUGCCAGUGGCAGAGCCUGUCUUUGUCUCAUGAAUCAGGCCUACUCUUUCAGCAGGAGAACUUCUGGGUAACACUCUUGGGCUGAAAUCCCAAACAGAGGCAGUAAAUCAAACCUCUUAGAACUGAUCAUGAGCUGUUUUCUUCUUUCCUUGUUCUGUGCCUGCUUUUCCUUUCCACUAAAAGCCUGCCUGCCUUUCAUACAGGCAAAACUAUUGCAGGCAUUGAAUGUUGAUCAAAAGUUCACAUACAACAAUUUAAAAUCCAGAAGACAGAAGCUCAAAAGAGUUUUUUGUUUGCUUUGUGUGGUUACGUGGGGAAAAUAAAAUUAUCCCAGUAGGAGGAACGGCUGCAGAACAUGCUAUGAAAUAGAUGGGAAAAAUUAAUAACCUAAGAUGUGAUAUUUUUCUCAGUCGAUGUUCCUUAAGUGUUCCCACAAAGUGUUUGGACAAAAUGUAGACUCUAUAAGCUAUGUUUUACAAACUAUUCCAACUAUGCUGGUGUUUCUUGGUUCCAUGGUGAUCUUGUGACUUUUACACUUGAUUGAAAGUUGUGUAGCACCUACCUAUUUUGCAACAGGAAGGGAGGAAGCAGUUAGAGGCAGGGCCGUCUGGUUGGAGGCAGGGGUAAGGUGAAGGGGAUCUGUUGAGGUUAAGUUUUCCCA